ensembl:lncRNA
GUAUCGUCAGUGGAGGAUCCACUUUUCAGCAAAUGCGCACAAACGCAUUCCGUCCACACGGGCCUGCCUGGCUGGCCAUGCUCUGCAGGGCAUGGGUGGGCGUCUGCCUCAGUUUCCCCGUCUGUGACCCCAGGUGCCCUGCCUCACACCAUCACUGGGAGGAGUCCACAGGUUUCUACACGUGAAGUACUUGGAACAGCGACUGGCAGAACAGCAAUGGAUUGCACCCACACAUCCUCGUUUCUUCUUGCGAUCACCCUGCAGUGCUGGCCGUGACCUUUGCCAUUCAGCAACUCCUGGAAGGGCACUUUGGAGAAUAUUUGUCAACCAUGUAUUUCAAAAUGGGACCCUACAAAGUCCUACUUAAACAAGUUUAAAUUAAAC